rnacentral:rRNA from 1 species
CCAUUGGAGAGUUUGAUCCUGGCUCAGGACGAACGCUGGCGGCGUGCUUAACACAUGCAAGUCGUGCGCGAAAGCGGCUUCGGCCGCUGGAGAGCGGCGAACGGGUGAGUAACACGUGGAU